rnacentral:rRNA from 1 species
AUUGAACGCUGGCGGCAGGCCUAACACAUGCAAGUCGAGCGGAUGAAGGGAGCUUGCUCCUGGAUGCAGCGGCGGACGGGUGAGUAAUGCCUAGGAAUCUGCCUGGUAGUGGGGGAUAACGUCCGGAAACGGGCGCUAAUACCGCAUACGUCCUGAGGGAGAAAGUGGGGGAUCUUCGGACCUCACGCUAUCAGCUGAGCCUAGGUCGGAUUAGCUAGUUGGUGGGGUAAAGGCCUACCAAGGCGACGAUCCGUAACUGGUCUGAGAGGAUGAUCAGUCACACUGGAACUGAGACACGGUCCAGACUCCUACGGGAGGCAGCAGUAGGGAAUAUUCGACAAUGGGCGAAAGCCUGAUGCAGCCAUGCCGCGUGUGUGAAGAAGGUCUUCGGAUUGUAAAGCACUUUAAGUUGGGAGGAAGGGCAGUAAGUGAAUACCUUGCUGUUUUGACGUUACCAACAGAGUAAGCACCGGCUAACUUCGUG